rnacentral:rRNA from 1 species
UACGAAGGGGGGCUAGCGUUGCUCGGAAUCACUGGGCGUAAAGCGCACGUAGGCGGAUCUUUUAAGUCAGGGGUGAAAUCCCAAGGCUCAACCUUGGAACUGCCUUUGAUACUGGGGGAUCUCGAGUCCGGAAGAGGUUGGUGGAACUCCGAGUGUAGAGGUGAAAUUCGUAGAUAUUCGGAAGAACACCAGUGGCGAAGGCGGCCAACUGGUCCGGCACUGACGCUGAGGUGCGAAAGCGUGGGGAGCAAACAGG